AUAGAUAUACUUCCGCCUGUUGAUUAUUCAUCAGCAGAGAAGAAAAGGAACUCGGCCAAGAGUAGUUUGUUUUCAGUUAAUGCUGAUUAUGAAGAUGAUAAUCUAGCAAGUAUUCUGAGAGUGUGAAGCGGAGUACUUCCCUACAAGUUUAUUUGGGGCAAUGCCUAGGAGCUGAAUACAAGGAUUCAGGGGUGUGAUGGGGAAGUAAUUUUUUUCGUGUGGGUGGAUAAAAGAGGUGUCUCCAGCUUGCAUACAACUCGAAUAUUCUAUCAGGCAACUAUAUCCUCUCACCGGUAAAGGUACGGGGAUAAGAAGCAAUCACCCAACAUUGCCUCUGCUGAGGUACAGUGAGAAGUUAUUGAAAGAUGUGAAAGGAAAUCAGCCCCUUGAAAGAAAUGAUAUUUCUCAUAUGGGUAAAGGAUGAACUUAAAAUAGGGUACAACAUGGAUCCUUACAUAUCUAAUAUCACGAGCCUAAUAGGGGACUAUGUGUGGAAAGCUUUAGACUAUCAGUAAUUGUCUUAUGUCCAAUGGUUAUGGAGAUUUAAUACCAACAAACUGGAGAUGUGGAAGGGGAGAUCAAUGCAUAAUAUGGAAUUGAUGGACAAUGAUGCACUAAAGCAGCAGUCACAUCUUUUCAUGGAGUUUACAGUAGGGAGACAAAUAGGAAAUUCUUGGAGAGAGUUUGAAGAGGUGGUAGGGUCAAAGUGGGUAACGGAAGAGCAAGACUAUGGCAAAAAAAACCUUUGGAAACCAGCACUCUUGAAAGAACUAUUCCCAGAUUUAUAUAAGUUCGGUGUACUAUUGCAGAACGCUUCAAAAGAGAAUACUGGAGUCUUCAACCUUGAAUAAGUUAUCAGUACUCGGCACAGAGUGCUAGUGUGGUAACAGUUAAAUUAGCCUGAGUGAUAGUACGGGAUCAUUAGCCUGACUCCCUCCUUUGUAUGUCAAUGAUGACAGGAAAAUCCUUAGUUAAAGCAUGCUAUGCUUGUUGUUAAGGAUGAAUUCUGGUCUAUUGGCUCAAAGGACAUGGAAGAUGACUUAGAGGACGAGAGCUAGUUCCAAAGUGGCUGGUUUUGGAUAGUGGCCCUGAAUCAAACUGUCACGACAAGGUUCCGUCCUAUCCUUGUUUUUUACCAUUUUAGAAUUUGAUUUGAAUAUAGAUACAAUCUCAAGAAUAGUCUUACUCUGUCUGUCCAUUUGAAUGUUAUCUGGACUAAAUAUAGCAGUCAGUCACUGCAAGCUAACAGUAUAAUAUAGUAGAACGAUCCCAGGACAAGGAAAUUGAUGAACGGAAUCAGACAUCAAGUCUAAGAAUCCCAUCCCCCCCCCNNNNNNNNNNNNNNNNNNNNNNNNNNNNNNNNNNNNNNNNNNNNNNNNNNNNNNNNNNNNNNNNNNNNNNNNNNNNNNNNNNNNNNNNNNNNNNNNNNNNNNNNNNNNNNNNNNNNNNAACCACCACAGGUGCUAUAUGGAGGAGAACGUAGUGAGGAACAAAUCUUAUGUCUUACAUGCAAAUAUGUUCUUUGCCAAACCAAAAAUAACAAACAAGGUCUUUGUAUUUGCAAAGUAAAAAGAUAAAUGUGUAAAUACACAAACCUCAUGAAGCUUCUUUCUCCUCCCUUUAGAUUCAAUUGGAAAGCGGCGCAGCAUGAGAAACAACCUGAUGAUUGUAAAAACUUGUAAAUACGAAUUCCCAAUGAACAGUUGUCUAAGGUAGUUAAGAACAGUGAAUUAGAAGAUAAAUGCACAAAGAAAUAGCACUUAAAUGCACCUUCCACCAUAGAGCAGAAAGCCCAAUGCUGCAAUAAAUGACACAACUGCACCAAAGAAACAUGCAACGUUAAUCUAACCUUCAGUAAAAUAGGGCAAAAGGAGAAAACUAAUAGAAAGAGAUUCACCUGCUAUAAAUAUCUUCCCAAUGAAUUCCACAGUGCUAUUGUCAUUGACCCAGAGGUAAACCCAGAUACAUGCCUGACCAAAACCAUUUUUCAGUUGUAUUUAGUUUAUUACCUGAGAUAAAAUCUAGAAGACUCAAGCAGCUAGAUAGCUUUUGAGACAAGUGGUCCGUCGGGAAUAUUUUUCCAGGAAAUCAAGAACAUCAAAAAAAAAUCUAGAAGACUCAAGCAGCUAGUUAGCUUUUGUGACAAGUGGUCCGUCGGGAACAUUUUUCCAAGAAAUCAAGAAUAACAGACAGCUUUAUUCAUUUAGAAGUGGACCCUUUUUUUAGGAAAAGGGAGAAAGCUAGAGUCCUCAGGGACUGGAAUUAGGAGUAUCUAGCCCCAUUUCAAGGCUAACUUUUCAAAUGGGUUUUUAAAUAUUUAUUGCAAGAUCUUGGAAAGAUAUAUAAGGAUUCAGGGGUGUGAUGGGGAAGUAAUUUUUUUCGUGUGGGUGGAUAAAAGAGGUGUCUCCAGCUUGCAUACAACUCGAAUAUUC
rnacentral:lncRNA from 1 species